ensembl:lncRNA novel transcript, sense overlapping KCNA1
GAGAGAGGAGGGAAAGGGGAAGCGUUCGUGCCUCUCUGCCCCCUGUCCCCCUCUUGCUGCAUAGUAGCCACAUCCAUGUCUCUUGUACCCUGCAAUCUGGAGGCCACUGCCAGAAGCUGGAAAUCUCAAGUAGAGCAGCAAAAGGAGCCUCUGGGGCUGGCACAGCCCUCACUGCCUACAACCUGGGCCUGGUGGUUCUCCUAGGGUGCCUCUGGGAGGUCAUGGUCACCCCGCUGCUGGCUAACUGCAGCUACUUCUGCCAGCCAGUGGACUACAGAUGGAGAAAGCAUGGAAUGAGGGCAUCUUCCUGGAGACAGGAAGGUAGGCACUGUGGAAUCAGCGGUGCGUAGAACAGUGAGGAUUUGGGGCUGAACCCAGCCCAGGUGGGCCAAGCCGUGGCACCAGCCGGACUGCAGUCUGAUGGAACUUCCCCUUCCUGCCCAGCAGAUGGCGAGCGUGUGCUGCUGGUGCCUCUUUCCAAAGGACGUUGAAUUGCUUGACAGCCCUGCCCAGCAUCUAGAAGACCACCUGAAGCUUUCACACUUUGAGACCUUAGAUCCUGCGAGGGUUUGAAUUUCAAAAGCUUCAAUUAAAGCACACAGUGUUCUUUACUUUAUGAAUGAAGCCAGAGCAGCCCACCUUCCUGCAUCUCUACCACCAUGGCACCAUGCCCUGUGAUGGGUGGGCUGGAGUCAAAUAUGUAGCAGGCAGCCAGGGUCAGUUUGUGGCCACUGCUGCCCCCUCUUCCUACAGUCUCCUCACUGAGUGCCCCUUCCCUGUUGGGUUCAACACAUCUGUGCUCCUGUAAGCCCUCAGCCUCCUCGUUCUCUUCCUCAACUUCUACCACCAGACACAUCUGAGAAGCAAGCAAGAGAGGCUGAACUAGGAGCAGGACCCAGGGACUGAAACCAGCACAGCAUCCCCACAGAGAAUUGGGUGGAAGGCAGCAUGGCUUCCAGCUUACUGGUGCUGAGCAGAUUGCUCUGGGUCUCCAUUGUAUCCUCUGAAGGAAGGAGGAGGAUUGCCUUCUGUCCAGAUCUCAGGAUCAAACAAAUAGGUCCAAUUUCCUGUGCUCACUUCAGUUAGAGCACUUCUCAUGUGACUUUGUAGCUUUGUGUGCAUCUCCUUCCUCUACUAGACCUAAGCCCCUCACGGGAGGGACUCUCUUAUUCUUGAUGUUCCCCACACCUGGAAUUUCAAUAAACAUCUCAA